rnacentral:rRNA from 1 species
UGCGUAGGCGGCUUGAUAAGUCAGAGGUGAAAGGCUACAGCUCAACUGUAGAAUUGCCUUUGAAACUGUUGAGCUUGAAUCAGGUUGAGGUUGGCGGAAUGUGGCAUGUAGCGGUGAAAUGCAUAGAUAUGCCAUAGAACACCAAUUGCGAAGGCAGCUGACUGGACCUGAAUUGACGCUGAGGCACGAAGCGUGGGGAGCGAACA